rnacentral:miRNA from 1 species
AGGAUCAAGGGGAGGGAGGUUACCCAUGGCUCUUACUGAAGACUGGCAGUUACACUGUAGCUGUUGGUUUCAAGCGGACGCCUAGAGAACUGUCUUCCUGUGGUUUGUUAGCUAC